rnacentral:rRNA from 1 species
UACAGUAGGGUGCAAGCGUUGUCCGGAAUUAUUGGGGCGUAAAGAGCUCGUAGGUCGUUUGUUACGUCGGAUGUGAAAACCUGAGGCUCAACCUCAGGCCUGCAUUCGAUACGGGCAAACUAGAGUUUGGUGAGGGGAGACUGGAAUUCCUGGUGUAGCGGUAGGAAUGCGCAGAUAUCAGGAGGAACACCAAUGGCGAAGGCAGGUCUCUGGGCCAAUACUGACACUGAGGAGCGAAGUCUGGGGAGCGAACAGG